AGAGCGAACGCUGGCGGCAGGCCUAACACAUGCAAGUCGAGCGCCCGUAGCAAUACGGGAGCGGCAGACGGGAUAGUAACACGUGGGAACGCGCCCUUCGGUUCGGAAUAACUCAGGGAAACUUGAGCUAAUACCGAAUACGCCCUUACGGGGAAAGAUUUAUUGCCGAAGGAACGGCCCGCGUCCGAUUAGCUAGUUGGUGAGGUAAUGGCUCACCAAGGCUACGAUCGGUAGCUGGUCUGAGAGGAUGACCAGCAUCACUGGGACUGAGACACGGCCCAGACUCCUACGGGAGGCAGCAGUGGGGAAUAUUGGACAAUGGGCGCAAGCCUGAUCCAGCCAUGCCGCGUGGAUGAUGACGGCCUUAGGGUUGUAAAGUCCUUUUAACGGGGAAGAUAAUGACGGUACCCGUAGAAUAAGCCCCGGCUAACUUCGUGCCAGCAGCCGC
rnacentral:rRNA from 1 species